rnacentral:rRNA from 1 species
AGUGAACGCUGGCGGUAUGCCUAACACAUGCAAGUCGAACGGCAGCACAGUAAGAGCUUGCUCUUACGGGUGGCGAGUGGCAGACGGGUGAGGAAUACAUCGGAAUCUACUUUUUCGUGGGGGAUAACGUAGGGAAACUUACGCUAAUACCGCAUACGACCUACGGGUGAAAGCAGGGGAUCUUCGGACCUUGCGCGAUUGAAUGAGCCGAUGUCGGAUUAGCUAGUUGGCGGGGUAAAGGCCCACCAAGGCGACGAUCCGUAGCUGGUCUGAGAGGAUGAUCAGCCACACUGGAACUGAGACACGGUCCAGACUCCUACGGGAGGCAGCAGUGGGGAAUAUUGGACAAUGGGCGCAAGCCUGAUCCAGCCAUACCGCGUGGGUGAAGAAGGCCUUCGGGUUGUAAAGCCCUUUUGUUGGGAAAGAAAAGCAGCAGGUUAAUACCCCGCUGUUCUGACGGUACCCAAAGAAUAAGCACCGGCUAACUUCGUG